GGCGUACGGUUGCCCCCAGAGGCCACUCACUGCAGUUGCCACCCGCCCGGGUCUCCAGCUGAUUCUGAUCCCGCCCAGGCCCUGCACCACCUGCUCCGGCUCUGCCUGACUCCACCCCACGCCCCAAGACCCCACCCCUCCUCCCUGCCUUUCACGAAGAGCCCCUGGGCUAGAGUUUCGCCUUUGUCUCCAACCCUUCCUUCAGCCCAGCUCUGAGCGAGCGCCUUCCUUGGCUGCCCCUCCUGAAUUGAAACCCUGCAAGUCCUCGUCUGCUCCGGAACCUGCCAUGGCUCCCCACUGCUCCUGUCUGGAGCAAACUCCACAGCGUGCACCUAAUGCUUCCAGAGAUGAGCUGCAGGCACCAGCCCCUAGUGCUGCUGGGCUGGCUGUGCAGCUGCUCUGAGGACCCUGCCCCUCAGAGGCAGCUUGGGGACCGAGCCAGGCUGUUCACACAAAGGGAACAGGGACAGCAGGAAGCCAAUCAUUUGCAGGGGCCAGGCUGCCGGUAACCAAAGCCUCUGGACUCACUGCUCCCUACAGCCUCCAGGAAGGGAAUGGAGAAGAGAGGAAUCUGGUCUCCAGGGCCUUGGCCAGCACUCGCCUCCCUCCUGCCCAGGGGCUGCCCAUUAGCUGUGUGAGUCCACCAGGAGUGCCCGUUAGAGCACUUAGUCUCCUGCCUUAGCAGUCUCCUCCGGCAAAUGGGAAUGACCGCGGGGCAGCUGCCCCCUAGGGGCGUGUCAAGGAGCAGGAGAUGGGGUGCGAGAGUGCGGAGGGUCCAGAGGGCCUGUGGUCAGUGGGGAGGGGCGGGGAGGCUCCCCAGGCACCCAUGGUCUACCAUCUGCCUGGCUGAGUCUCUGCCAACGCCUCACCCCAACCCUGACAUGGCACCACACCCCAGCUCCCCAGGCUUUGGCCUUGGCUGUCUCCUCUGCCCGGAAGCCCCUGCCCAUCUCCUGGUGCUCUGCCUGCAGGGCCAGCGCCCCCGGAAGCCCCCCUUCUCCUUGUCCCAGCCCAGCCCACACAGGUUUUCGUGCCCACGACGUGUGCCCACAUUAGGGGGGUCUGAUUCAUCUCAGUUUCCCCCGCAGCAACUAGAAGGGCUCCCGGCACAGGAAAGAUGCUGGCUGAGAGUUAGUGCUGCAGACUGAGCCUCAGUGUCCUCAUCAGUGAAAUGGGGGUGUCAUGCUGUGCCCGUGCUCAAGGAGGGGCCGGAGGGGGUCGGCAGGACCCUGCAGGGCAGGGAGAACCAGCCUCCUGCACCUCUACUGCCAUGGGCUCCAGGCACCAGCUC